UGUGUGUGUGUGUCUGUGUGUUUCUUAUAUAAACUAAGGAAAUUUGUGUUUGGUAGAUCAUUUCUCUGUGGUAACAAUGCUUUUUGGCAAUAAAUCGCACACUGUUG